GAGUUUGAUCCUGGCUCAGGAUGAACGCUAGCUGGAGGCUUAAUACAUGCAAGUCGAGCGGGAUUGGGUAGCAAUACCCAUGAGAGCGGCGCACGGGUGAGUAACGCGUACACGACCUACCUUUGACUGGGGGAUAGCCCUGGGAAACUGGGAUUAAUACCGCAUAUAAUUCUGAUUAAUAAAGGAUUGGAAUGAAAGUUCAGGCGGUCAGAGAUGGGUGUGCGUCUGAUUAGCUAGUUGGUGAGGUAACGGCUCACCAAGGCGAUGAUCAGUAGGGGGCGUGAGAGCGUGGUCCCCCACACAGGUACUGAGACACGGACCCGACUCCUACGGGAGGCAGCAGUAAGGAAUAUUGGUCAAUGGGCGAAAGCCUGAACCAGCCAUCCAGCGUGCAGGAAGAAGGCCCUAUGGGUUGUAAACUGCUUUUGUCAGGGAAUAAACCUGUGGAUUUAUCCGCAGCUGAAGGUACCUGAAGAAUAAGCACCGGCUAACUCCGUGCCAG
rnacentral:rRNA from 1 species